ensembl:piRNA 21ur-26 ncRNA
AGAAAUCCACUAUGCUUUGGU